GUUGCCGUGGUUACACAGCAAAGGCAGUCUUUCCACUGAUCCCCCUCCCCCGAUGGCGGAACAGAGGGCGUUUUCCCUGUUGGCCACAGGACAAAACACAAACAACCGGCUCAUCCCUGCAGUCGGAGAAAAGGCAGGGUUGUAAUGUUUCCAGCCCACCUGGAGGAUGACAAUGCAAAGAGAAACUGAUGAUGAAAAUCACACAAAAGCCAAGUGUCGUAAUGGGACUUCCAGUGAUCGAGAGGCGAAUGAUGGCAAGACGACCUGAAAGAGGACAGUGGC